rnacentral:lncRNA from 1 species
CUUCACAGGAUCCAGGGCAAGAGGACCCUGGCGAGGACGCACCUGAACCGGACCUCGCGGCGGCAGCACGGGAGGCGCUUCCGCCCUGAAGGAGGCGCGACUCCUUCCAGGUGUAAACGCCACGUCUGCAGGAAAACCGUUUGGUCUGGAGGUUACAGAUGAAACGAACCUGGACGCUGACGAGCGCAGAGAAGAUCCAGUCACAGACGCUGGAACGAGUGCAAACAUUAUUGGUGGAAGUAAAGAUGGAGGCGGGGUUUACCACAUUUCGUUCAAUCACAAAUGUUUGAUGCUUACGCUGAUCUUUGAGGUCUGAAGUUUCUGUGAUAAUGUGGACAUAAAAUUAUAGGUUUAGGUUUUUAAGACAUGAUCAAUUACAUCAGUUUAUUUUAUAAA